rnacentral:rRNA from 1 species
AUACGACCAUACCCACUGGAGAACUCGGGAUCCCGUCCGCUCUCCCAUAGAUAAGCCAGUGAGGGCCGGAUUAGUAGCUGGGUCGGUGACGACCAGCGAAUACCUGGUGUUGUAUG